rnacentral:lncRNA from 1 species
GAUUGUGUGGCUGCUGUUGGUCUAAACUCUGAUGGCAAGAGGGAGAAGUGAGAAAAAACAUCCAUCUUCUACGUGCUACAAAAAGUGAAAAAGUGAAAUUGCAGGCUACACUUCAGGGAGCUUUCCUACUUUGCUACAGACAGCUGAAAGGUAUAUGUGACUAUGGUGCCACAGCUGGUCACUCAGCAAAACUUUACCUCUCCUGCUGAAGAAAGGUAGAUGAACAGCCUUAAAGCAACUGCUGCAUUUCCAAGAAUAGUUUAAAAAGCAGUGGCCUGGAAGCCACUGGAAGCCACUGGAAGCAGAGGAAAAGCAGAGGAAGUGUUCCUAUUCCUAUUACCAGUCUGUAAACCUGUGGAUGUUGUACACACAUGUGAAUAUGCUUCUCUGUACUCUGCAAUAACUCUAUAGAAGUUAAAAAAUAAAUUGAAAUGGAGAAGUAUAUUAUGUGAACA